AAAACCUAAAGUUGGACACUUCGUCCACUAUGUUGUUGCAUCUUUUUUUGCGCAGCGAAGGGGGAGGGGCUAUCAGACUCUGAUUAUUUAAUGACAAAAUAAACGUAUAUAGUUCAUACAUUACAUGAGUGAGUACAUAGUGUAUAGUGCAUCAUUUGGGACGCAGCUGUAGAUAUAUAAAUAGGUAGAUGCUCCAGAAGCGUCACGCACAAAAACAAUCAAUGGGUUUCAAAAUCCAACACCAUUGCUUAGCCUGUGAAUGUCAAAACAGCCAAAACUUUAAUUCCUGAAGAAAUUGGAUAAACUUUCACAGGUAAUAGUGUGUCAGUUUGUGUUUUUAAUACUGUAUGAACUCAUUAUUACAGGUUUUUAAACUACAGAACCUUUUAAGCAUCAUGUUAGCCUACAGCUUCGACUUCUUGUAUUCUGUUAAUUUAGCAAAAUCAUCUGCUUAAGUCUAUUGCACACAGAUACAGAUAUUCUCACAUGCGUACAACUACAGUUGCAAUGCACAGACAACUUGCUCUCAGUUUCUACUGACGCUAACAGGGCAUCUACCUAUACAUAUCUAUGGAUUAUUUCAAUAAUAACUUUGCAUCACACAUAGUAUUGAAUGCACAUUCAUUUUUACAGUUUCUUCUGUUUAAAUCAGAAAAACAAAAUGUAGCACCAUAACACUUAGAGCAGCUGUACAUGUGUUUGUCUAAUUCUUUUUUUAAUCUAAAUUCUCACGUAAUACAGCUCAAAACUAUUUAAUUUCUUUGAUUUUGAAGACCAGAACUAAGAAUAGGAAAUAUAGAAAUACAUAAUGUAGCAUAAAUCGAGGUCAUCCGUGUGGCUUUGUAAUGUUCUGAAGGUACAAAGUUUGUUUUUCACAUCACAUUAUUUUUAUUUUAAUUGGACCGUGUGAGCUGAUGAUUUGUUUUAUGUAUAUCUAUUCACUGUAUAUCCAUGAAUUGUGAUUCUUAGUGAUGAAUCUGUUGUUAAAAAGCUUACAUUGAGAGGCUCUCUAUAGACACGACGCACCACUCCACAGCUAGAGGCUAAAUCUACAAUAUAAGCAAUGAAAUGCCUGAGAUUUAAGAUAUUUGAAGAUGAAAUGCUUUGAAGCGCUUCACGUGCACGGCCUGGCUCUUGUUGAAACUGAAUCAUGCAGUUAGCUGGUGUGCCAAAGCUGUAAACCUUCAUGGAGUCUUCUCUCUGUAUUAUACAGAAAUUUAAUGUAAUGCAAAACUAAAUAAAUCUUUAUUCAUUAAGAGAGAGCAGAUGGAUGGGAUGUUUUCUUCUUCAGCAGUCGACCCAAACACAGGACGGUCAGCUGCGUGAGUCGAGCUGAUAAAUAAGCUCAUAUGUUUUCCAUGUGCUUUAAUGUGAUGAGAGGAAACUCUGGUGCCAAAACGAUCAUGUGACGGUGGACAGACGUCCGUCUGAGAGGACCUCUUGGUGUUUCUGUUUGUUCUCGUUCUUCUAAUUGAUAAUCACAACUGAGUUUGGUUUUGUAUUCUGUGGAAGUAGUUGGAGAAAAAAAAACUAUUAGAGACUGGAUGUUUUUUAUACAUAUGACUAUAAUAUACAACAUGCAUAAAUUAAAAGAUGUCUGUUCCACAUCAGUACAAUAAACAGAGAGAACCAA